AACCGCCGGAGGUGGAAAACCGCACGUUCGGUGGUGUGGGAGAAGUGACGGGUGAUAGACCCCAU
rnacentral:misc_RNA from 1 species